AAAUUGAAGAGUUUGAUCAUGGCUCAGAUUGAACGCUGGCGGCAGGCCUAACACAUGCAAGUCGAACGGUAGCACAGAGAGCUUGCUCUCGGGUGACGAGUGGCGGACGGGUGAGUAAUGUCUGGGAAACUGCCUGAUGGAGGGGGAUAACUACUGGAAACGGUGGCUAAUACCGCAUAACGUCGCAAGACCAAAGAGGGGGACCUUCGGGCCUCUUGCCAUCAGAUGUGCCCAGAUGGGAUUAGCUUGUUGGUGAGGUAACGGCUCACCAAGGCGACGAUCCCUAGCUGGUCUGAGAGGAUGACCAGCCACACUGGAACUGAGACACGGUCCAGACUCCUACGGGAGGCAGCAGUGGGGAAUAUUGCACAAUGGGCGCAAGCCUGAUGCAGCCAUGCCGCGUGUAUGAAGAAGGCCUUCGGGUUGUAAAGUACUUUCAGCGGGGAGGAAGGUGUUGUGGUUAAUAACCGCAGCAAUUGACGUUACCCGCAGAAGAAGCACCGGCUAACUCCGUGCCAGCAGCCGCGGUAAUACGGAGGGUGCAAGCGUUAAUCGGAAUUACUGGGCGUAAAGCGCACGCAGGCGGUCUGUCAAGUCGGAUGUGAAAUCCCCGGGCUCAACCUGGGAACUGCAU
rnacentral:rRNA from 1 species